CAGGACUCGCAAGACUCCUACAACCCUGUGAACUUAACUAUAAGCACGUUGCUUCGGCGGGUGUCUCGGCGAGGGUCCUCCCUCCCCGGGGCGCUAAGCCCGCCGGCAGCCUACUAUACUCUGUCUCUUUGCGUUGGCAUCUCGAGUACAAUCAAACAAGUUA
rnacentral:misc_RNA from 1 species